rnacentral:rRNA from 1 species
GGUAACAUCAAAUCGUACCCCAAACCGACACAGGUGGUCAGGUAGAGAAUACCAAGGCGCUUGAGAGAACUCGGGUGAAGGAACUAGGCAAAAUGGUGCCGUAACUUCGGGAGAAGGCACGCUGAUAUGUAGGUGAAGUCCCUUGCGGAUGGAGCUGAAAUCAGUCGAAGAUACCAGCUGGCUGCAACUGUUUAUUAAAAACACAGCACUGUGCAAACACGAAAGUGGACGUAUACGGUGUGACGCCUGCCCGGU